GUACCUAUUGAGGAGGAGCAGUCUAUGGAGGAGCGUACCUAUGGAGGAGCAGUACCUAUGGAGGAGCGUAUUUUAGGGAGGAGCAGUACCUAUGGAGGAGCAGUAACUUUAAUGUGAGGAGAAGGAUAUAUAUGGAGGAGCAUACCUAUGGAGGAGCAGUACCUAUGGAGGAGCAGUAUACUAUGUAGGAGCAAAGUACCUAUGAGGAGCAGUACCUAUGAGGAGGAGCAGUACCUAUGGAGGAGCUACUUUGAGGAGCAUACGUAUGGAGGAGGAGCAGUACCUAUGGAGGAGCGGUACCUAUGGAGGAGCGUACUAUGGAGGAGCGUACCUAGGAGGAGCAGUUAUCUAUGGAUUAGCAGUACCUAUGGAGGGAGGAGCAGUACCUAAUGGAGGAGCAGUAAUCUAUGGAGGACAGUAACCUAUGGAGGAGCAGUAUCUAUGGAAGGAGCAGUACCUAUGGAGGAGCAGUAUUUACGGAGGAGCAGUACCUAUGGAGGAGGAGUAUCUAUGGAGGAGCAGUACCUAUGGAGGAGCAGUACCUAUGGAGGAGCAGUACCUAUGGAGGAGCAGUACCUAUGGAGGAGCAGUAUUUACGGAGGAGCAUCUCUAUGUGGAGGACCUGACUGUUGGAGAAACAGGUGGGAUGCACUGAUGAAGCGUUUCGGGCCUGUUCGGCGUUUAGCUUUGGGCGGUAUAACCGUAUACCAGGGGAAAUAGCAACGGGGCGGUUUUUCAAUACUGUUGAAAUUAUUUAUUUUAAGUUUUUCAAUACAUUUUUAUAUUUGUAGCUACUUUUUAAGUACACACAUGCACUUAACUUGCGCAAUACGUUAGGAGAUAAAGCAGAGCUAGAAUGUCUACUAGAGCUGUUGCCAGAUAAUUGAAUGUACGUUUCUCUACCAUAAGCCGCCUCCAAUUUGGCAUAUUCGCUUGUAAAACUCACCAAAAUAACAUUCGGUAGCUCCUACCUAUAUAUGUAGAACUUCGUGAACUGGACUGCUUCUCUUUGCAAUAAGUCAUUUUAGUUUGCGCACAUUAUCAUAUUUAGUUAGCCUCCAUUCGAAACUUGUGCUAAUUUUGUUAGCAUUAUAGACUACUUUUGUCCAGAGCCUAUGGACCUAAUUAAAAGUAGUGCACUACAUGGGGAAGUGGGUUGUGUUUGGGACGCAGGCAGAGAUUGCCAGUGAGAAUGCAGUACUAACCCAUAGCCUCCAUGCCAGGGGGUUUGCCUAGGAUGGGCCGCAGCCCAGGAGUGGUGGAGGUGCCUGGGGUGGGGGCGUCGCUACGAGGGGUGGGGGUGGUCGACUUCAGGCCUGGCAUUGAUGACUUGUCAUUCUGCACAAGAGGAGAGAGAGAGGGGGAGGGACGGAGAGGAAGAUGGAGGGAGAGGGAUAGAUAGAGAAAUGG
rnacentral:lncRNA from 1 species